rnacentral:rRNA from 1 species
GACUCAAUUUAACGGCCGCGGUAUCCUAACCGUGCGAAGGUAGCGUAAUAACUUGUCUCCUAAUUAGGGUCCUGUAUGAACGGCUACAUGAGGGCCUAACUGUCUCUUGCAACCAAUCAAUGAACCUGAGCUUUCAGUUCAAAAGCUGAAAUAAACCCAUGGGACGAGAAGACCCCGUGGAACUUUAAGUGACCCACUACUUAAGCCAACAAAAAGCCCACUGACAGACAGGCCACCAACACUUUAAGCACAGAAGGGCACCACUUUUGGUUGGGGCGACUGCGGAGAAAAACAAAACCUCCACGCAUAAGGACUUACCACCCAUCACAGGCCGACAGGCCAAAAAUAAUAACCUCUUUGACCCAGUAAACUGAUCAACGAACCAAGCUACCCCGGGGAUAACAGCGCCAUCCUCUUUAAGAGUCCAUAUCGCCAAGAGGGCUUACGACCUCGAUGUUGGAUCAGGGCACCCUGGCAGUGCAGCCGCUGCCAAAGGUUCGUUUGUUCAACGAUUAAUGCCC